rnacentral:lncRNA from 1 species
UUCCAACUUGACAUGCUUCUGGAGCCCCUGGUGCUGCCUUCUUCCCUUCAUUCAUCUUUUUCGUUCUUCCCACUGGUUGUCAAGCUCCAACCCUUGCCGCUGCUACAAGAGGGCAUCACGGGCGAUGCAGAUCCGGGACAGAGAAAGGUAGGAGCUGAAAAACAAAAUGACGCGGAGCAGGGAAAGCCCUUUGGAAUCGGCUUGGAAAGAGAUGUGGAGUGUGGGAUACGUGAACGCCAGCGUUGUCUUGCCAAGUUGCAACCGCGCAAUUUGCUUGAAAUGCCGACCGGAGAGACGGGUAUGAUGCUAUCCCCUAUUUCGUGGUGAUGCCCUGUCUGUCUGUCUCCCAUGUAUGCUGGUUCAGUGCCCUUCGUAUGUAUUGUGUGAAGCAGGCGGGCAGGC